CCGUGCGAAGGUAGCGCAAUCACUUGUCUUUUAAAUGGAGACCUGUAUGAAUGGCAUGACGAGGGCUUAGCUGUCUCCUAUUUCCAGUCAAUGAAAUUGAUCUCCCCGUGCAGAAGCGGGGAUACGUACAUAAGACGAGAAGACCCUAUGGAGCUUUAGACACCAAGGCAGACCAUGUUAAACACCCCGAAACAAAGGGUCAAACCAAAUGAUCCCUGCCCUAAUGUCUUUGGUUGGGGCGACCGCGGGGAAAUACAAAACCCCCACGUGGAACGAGAAUACUUCCUCUCACAACCAAGAGCUCCCGCUCUACUAAACAGAAAUUCUGACCAAUCAGAUCCGGCACAAGCCGAUCAACGGACCGAGUUACCCUAGGGAUAACAGCGCAAUCCCCUUUUAGAGACCAUAUCGACAAGGGGG
rnacentral:rRNA from 1 species